rnacentral:rRNA from 1 species
AGGGUGUAAACGCUGCAGACUUGGUGUUGGAGGCCCUUUGGGGGCAUUCAGUGCCGGAGAGAAGUUGUUAAGUCUGCUACUUGGGGAGUACGUCCGCAAGGAUGAACUUAAGGAAUUGGCGGGGAGCACCGCAACGGGAGGAGCGUGCGGUUUAAUUGGAUUCAACACCGUAAAACUCACCAGGGAAGACUGUUACAUGAAGGCCGAGAUGAAGACUCUGCUAGAUUUUCAGAGAGGAGGUGCAUGGCGUCAGUGACU